GGUGAACGCUGGCGGCAGGCCUAACACAUGCAAGUCGAGCGGCAGCGGGACCUUCGGGUUGCCGGCGAGCGGCGGACGGGUGAGUAAUGCCUAGGAAUCUGCCUGUUAGUGGGGGAUAACGCGGGGAAACUCGCGCUAAUACCGCAUACGUCCUACGGGAGAAAGCGGGGGCUCUUCGGACCUCGCGCUAACAGAUGAGCCUAGGUCGGAUUAGCUAGUUGGUGGGGUAAUGGCCCACCAAGGCGACGAUCCGUAACUGGUCUGAGAGGAUGAUCAGUCACACUGGAACUGAGACACGGUCCAGACUCCUACGGGAGGCAGCGGUGGGGAAUAUUGGACAAUGGGCGAAAGCCUGAUCCAGCCAUGCCGCGUGUGUGAAGAAGGUCUUCGGAUUGUAAAGCACUUUAAGUCGGGAGGAAGGGCUGUAGGCUAAUACCUUGCAGUUUUGACGUUACCGACAGAAUAAGCACCGGCUAACUUCGUGCCAGCCGCCGCAGUAA
rnacentral:rRNA from 1 species